rnacentral:rRNA from 1 species
UGGGGAAUAUUGCACAAUGGGCGAAAGCCUGAUGCAGCAACGCCGCGUGAGUGAUGAAGGCCCUCGGGUUGUAAAGCUCUGUCUUUUGGGACGAUAAUGACGGUACCAAAGGAGGAAGCCACGGCUAACUACGUGCCAGCAGCCGCGGUAAUACGUAGGUGGCAAGCGUUGUCCGGAUUUACUGGGCGUAAAGGAUGCGUAGGCGGAUUUUUAAGUGAGAUGUGAAAACCCUAAGCUUAACUUGGGGACUGCAUUUCAUACUGGAAAUCUAGAGUGCGGGAGAGGAGAAUGGAAUUCCUAGUGUAGCGGUGAAAUGCGUAGAGAUUAGGAAGAACACCAGUGGCGAAGGCGAUUCUCUGGACCGUAACUGACGCUGAGGCAUGAAAGCGUGGGUAGCAAACAGGAUUAGAUACCCUGGUAGUCCACGCCGUAAACGAUGAGUACUAGGUGUAGGAGGUAUCGACCCCUUCUGUGCCGCAGUUAACACAAUAAGUACUCCGCCUGGGAAGUACGAUCGCAAGAUUAAAACUCAAAGGAAUUGAC